rnacentral:rRNA from 1 species
CCUACGGGUGGCAGCAGUAGGGAAUAUUGCUCAAUGGGGGAAACCCUGAAGCAGCAACGCCGCGUGGAGGAUGAAGGUUUUCGGAUUGUAAACUCCUUUUGUUAGAGAAGAUAAUGACGGUAUCUAACGAAUAAGCACCGGCUAACUCCGAGCCAGCAGCCGCGGUAAUACGGAGGGUGCAAGCGUUACUCGGAAUCACUGGGCGUAAAGAGCGCGUAGGCGGGAUAGCAAGUCAGAUGUGAAAUCCUAGGGCUUAACCAUAGAACUGCAUUUGAAACUGUUAUUCUAGAGUAUGGGAGAGGUAGGUGGAAUGCUUGGUGUAGGGGUAAAAUCCGUAGAGAUCAAGAGGAAUACUCAUUGCGAAGGCGACCUGCUAGAACAUAACUGACGCUGAUGCGCGAAAGCGUGGGGAGCAAACAGGAUUAGAUACCCGUGUAGUC